rnacentral:rRNA from 1 species
CCUACGGGAGGCAGCAGUAGGGAAUAUUGCUCAAUGGGGGAAACCCUGAAGCAGCAACGCCGCGUGGAGGAUGAAGGUUUUAGGAUCGUAAACUCCUUUUGUUAGAGAAGAUUAUGACGGUAUCUAACGAAUCAGCACCGGCUAACUCCGUGCCAGCAGCCGCGGUCAUACGGAGGGCGCAAGCGUUACUCGGAAUGACUGGGCGUAAAGAGUGCGUAGGCGGGGUAAUAAGUCAGAUGUGAAGUCCUGUGGCUUAACUGCAGAGCUGCAUUUGAAACUGUUACUCUGGAGUGUGGGAGAGGUAGGUGGAAUUCUUGGUGUAGGGGUAAAAUCCGUAGAGAUCAAGAGGAAUACUCAUGGCGAAGGCGACCUGCUGGAACGUUACUGACGCUGAUGCACGAAAGCGUGGGGAGCAAACAGGAUUAGAUACCCGAGUAGUC